GUACGACACUUUCCAACUGUUUAUGAAGGCAAACCUUUUAGAGCGAAGAAUGCAAAAUUGCCUGGUUUCGGGAUUACUCUUAAUUGGGUUAAGAGGAGCAUCUUUUGGGAGCUACCAUAUUGGCGGAAGUUGUUAAUACGACAUAACCUUGAUCCCAUGCACAUUGAGACAAAUGUUUUUGAAAAUCUUUUCAACACCGUGAUGGACACUCCGAAAAGCAAAGACAACAUGAAUGCAAGAAAAGAUAUAGAAAUGUAUUGCAAUCGAGUGCAAUGGCAUACAUGGAAGAAGGGAAAUAAGGAUAUGAAAAAGAGAGCAUCGUUUGCUUUGAGCAAAGAACAAGUAGCUAAAAUAUGUCAAUGGUUGAUUAAACUUAAAUUCCCGGACGGAUACGCCUCAAACUUGGGGGGGGGUGCGUUAAUGUAGAUGAUAAUAGCUUUUACAAAUUCAAGAGUCACGAGUGCCAUGUAUUUCUUCAAAGAUUGUUGCCUAUUUCUCUAAGAGGUAUGGUGCCAAAUUCAACAUGGGAUGCAAUUACAGAGUUGUGUACAUUCUUUCGUGUAAUAUGUUCAAGGGUGUUACGCGUAGAUGACUUACAACGCUUGCAAACUACUAUUGUUGAAACCAUUUGCAAGUUGGAAAAAAUAUUUCCACCUGGAUUCUUUGAUUCAAUGGAGCAUCUUGUUAUCCACUUAGCUCGAGAAGCUAUGCUUGGUGGUCCGGUUCAAUAUAGGUGGAUGUAUCUUUAUGAAAGGAAGUUGGGAUCAAUGAAAAGAAAGAUAAAAAAACCAUGCGAAGGUUGAGGGGUCCAUUGUUGAGGCUUACAUGAUUGGAGAAAUAUCGACUUUUUGCUCACAAUACUUUUUGCCUACAAUUGAAACCCGGUUGAAUCGUGAGUCGCGUAAUUUUGCCCCAGACAUUCCUAGUUAUACCAUGGUCGACUCUCGAUUAAGCAUUUUCAAAGUUCCAUCUCGAAGAUUAUUCGAAAAAAGUGGACAACGGAGGCCUUUGACAGAUGAUGAGAUGUGUAUUGCUCAUAAUUACAUCUUGAUCAAUUGUGUUGAGGUUCUACCUUUUUUAAGGUUGUUUGAAAAUUAUGUGAUCCAAAGCCAACCUGAUAUGGAUGAUGGAGCAUUUGAAAGGUUUAGGGAUCAAUAUUUUGCUAUGUGGUUUAAAGAUCAUGU